rnacentral:rRNA from 1 species
UAACCUGCCCAAGAGAUCGGGAUAACACCUGGAAACAGAUGCUAAUACCGGAUAACAAUAGAUGAUGCCUAUCAACUGUUUAAAAGAUGGUUCUGCUAUCACUCUUGGAUGGACCUGCGGUGCAUUAGCUAGUUGGUAGGGUAACGGCCUACCAAGGCGAUGAUGCAUAGCCGAGUUGAGAGACUGAUCGGCCACAUUGGGACUGAGACACGGCCCAAACUCCUACGGGAGGCAGCAGCC